rnacentral:rRNA from 1 species
GGUUAAGCGACUAAGCGUACACGGUGGAUGCCCUGGCAGUCAGAGGCGAUGAAGGGCGUGCUAAUCUGCGAUAAGCGCCGGUAAGGUGAUAUGAACCGUUAUAACCGGCGAUACCCGAAUGGGGAAACCCAGUGUGACUCGUCACACUAUCAUUAACUGAAUCCAUAGGUUAAUGAGGCGAACCGGGGGAACUGAAACAUCUAAGUACCCCGAGGAAAAGAAAUCAACCGAGAUUCCCCCAGUAGCGGCGAGCGAACGGGGAGGAGCCCAGAGCCUGAAUCAGCAUGUGUGUUAGUGGAAGCGUCUGGAAAGGCGCGCGAUACAGGGUGACAGCCCCGUACACAAAAGCGUAUGUGCUGUGAGCUCGAUGAGUAGGGCGGGACACGUGGUAUCCUGUCUGAAUAUGGGGGGACCAUCCUCCAAGGCUAAAUACUCCUGACUGACCGAUAGUGAACCAGUACCGUGAGGGAAAGGCGAAAAGAACCCCGGCGAGGGGAGUGAAAAAGAACCUGAAACCGUGUACGUACAAGCAGUGGGAGCCCCACCACUAAGCCAGUGGUGAACUCCACAUACGCAUCCUUUGCUGAGGAUACGGUUAACGGAGCGAAAGCGACGUUCAACCGCAAAAGAAGCAGAGGGGGCUUAGUGGUGG